rnacentral:lncRNA from 1 species
GAAUAUAACUGCUGGUCAAGGCAAGGGUAAAUUCCCAAGGCAAUGAGGAGUAGAGAAAUUGGUGCUAAACUGGAAUGUAUGUAUAUAUUUGAACAAAUGAUUCCUUUAUUGUUAAUCAACACCAAAAAAAUGAUAAGAGGCUCUUGUUUUCUUUGGCCAGAUUCCUUACACCUACGUUAGGAUUGUUCAUUAUAUCCCCCCUUUCAAACUGAUUAUAUCGUUGGGCUCCAAUUCUCUUACAAUUAUGACACAACGAUUCGAAGAUUUAUGGUUACUGCAUUGAACAUGCUCUUUUCCAAGUGCGCUAUGUUUCAGAAUGAAGCUUAAAAAAUGUGCGCAUUUAUUUAUAUCCUUUAGAAGAAUUACAUUAUGUGAUUGGCUGACAUCCUCACAAUUUGUUUUAUUUGCCCGUUUCAGCAGCUCAGUGGAGGGGAAGAAGUGGCUGAUGUCUGGAAAACAAGCAUAAAGAGGCAUAGUUUGGUGAGCUGUCUAGUAUCAAAGGGAUAUGUGUGGGGUUUAGUUCUCGAAAUACUCUGAAGUGUAGCUAAAUGGGAUUUUCCUGAUGACCCUGAAAUUGUUGUGCAAGGGUUGGCUGUAAUAAGUUCUUUUGUUGUCAUAUCUUUGACUCUUGUAUGAUUUCUUAUUUGGGAAUGUGUGCUACAUUUGCUUCCUUGUGUGAAGUGAGGUUCCAGGCUCAUGUAGAACAUGCAUGUUUUUCCUUUUGGUGAUUUUGAUUGCAAUAGAUUCUGCAGAACAUGUUUUGGAAUAGAUGAUUUGGAUGCAUGUGGCUUGAGGUUUUCUAUUAAUGAGGAUGAUCGAUCACACACGCUUAAAGCGUUUCUCUAUCCUUUGCACAGACUUGCUUCAUACUAUGUCAAAAGCAGGUUGGUAGCUUCCCACCUCAAGAAAGUUCCCUCUCACUCAAUUCUAUAACAUGUUCUAGGGCAUCUUUUUCUAAUAACAAUGUUAGCGGCACUUUUGAGAUGCUGCCUUGAAAUUGAGUCUUGUCAGUUUCAUUUGACUCGGGGCGUCAGGGACCCUCCAACAGAAACCUUGUCUUUUUUGUAGUCGAUAAGUUCUUCCUCCUAAAAUGUCUAGUCUACUCCGCAAAUGUAUGCAGUGAACAAACCACUCAAGCAUUUGACAUAGUAUGAAGUUGCUUUUCUCUUAGUUUUGAGCUGUGACUUUGAAAGAAGUUCUUGGUAGGUAGCACUUACCUCGAAUGUGCUCUAUAGUUGGGCUCCAUGUAAACAUUGGAUGGAAGCCAAUCUUUUUUUAGUUACUUUCAUGAGAAGUAUUUUCUGAAAAUGUAUUUCAUGAUUAUCGAUUUGAGGGUGGAAAGUACUUUUGAAAUGAAUAUAUAUUAUAUAUAUAUCAAAGAUUGAUAUUAGGUAUUUUGAUUGAACUUUUGAGGACUAGGGAAUAGGGAUAAUAGUAAUGUCUGAGCGUCAGAUGGAACAAGUUAUGCGAAUUAAAAGUUAAGAUAAUUAUAGGUAAAAAAGGUCAUUAUUAGGAAAUCAUUUUUCCUCUUUGAUGAAAUAUUUUACUCAGAUCAGACCCCUAUUCUAAAGACAUUCGUUUUCUAUUUCCAGAGUCCUAAUGUCACUUUGAAAUUUUUUGGUAAAAAUAAUGAUUUCACUAAGGGAAGAUAGACAUAUUGUACAAAAGAAAGGAAUAUCAAAUGGGCGGCUUAAACUUCAGCCAUGGAAGGAUGAAGUUUCGUACAUUUAAUAUACAUACAUAAAAUACAUGCCGAACCAACUUGUGCACACCUAAACUAGUCCACGGGCGAAGUCAGGAAGCUGAGUUGAAGCUUGCCACAUCAUACAAGUACAAGUGUCUGGUAAACUUGUCCACCAAGAUAGGAGCAAAUGUGCUCACAUGUAGUAUUAUAGCUAGAGGUGUCCUCGCGGAGCCAUAAAUGUAGUUAACUUACUCAGGUACAAAAGGGGUUGGUUCACGACAGAGAUUUCUGAUAUUGUCGAACCCAGUUAUCAUAAUCCUGAAGCAGUUGUUGCAAUAGCAACGGUACUAGCCUGUCCACUAAAGCUUGCAUCAUUCUGUGUAAAACGUGAUUCACCAUUAGGAUUGAGAAUUUGAGAUGAAGUACAAAAGUUACAGAAAUAGGAAAUAGAAUUUGAUUUUAAACAUGAUCAUUGUGUAUGAAAAUUAUGAUGGCCGUUUCUAUUUUGCUAUAGAAAUAUCAUUUUGAAAAUGGAAAUGAAAUGUCUGCAAAGUGCAGAACUAUGUUUAUGCAAUAAUAAAAGAGUGUUCAACUGAAUUGGUCACCAUUAAAACUAGUACCAAAUCUAUGAAGACCUCUAUGUUCAUUUAUACGCUGAUAAGCUGAAAUUAUCAAGAAAAAGUGUCACUGCUAACUGGUCAUGAUCAACUUAUCUUCUGGAGCGAAGGGAAUUAUAGAUAGAACUUGGCAAAUGGAAACAUGCAGACGUACUGAGGUUCAAUGAGAUGGACUAUUCUUAGUGCAAAUGAUUCCGAAGAACUGUAUCUCUAAAAUCUAGCAAGGACCACUCAUGACCCUCGGAUUCUUUGCUUUAAUAUGGACCUUGCUCUAAGAAAAAUCCAGGCACAACAACACACACAUAUCAAUAAACAGAGUGUUAAUGUGUAAUUUAAACUGCAAUAUUUGUUUUUAUUACCAUUUCCGAUUACAGAGAGUAAAGACAGUGUAGCAAUAGACUUACAUGUUACCAGGACUCUCAACAGCAGAAGUAGGCAGCAUGGUGAAUGGCAUCGUAUAUAUCUGCAAGAACAAUCUAAGGUGACGACUCCGAUCUGAGGGUCAUAAUAUUCAAGAAACUUCUCUUGUCAAUAUGAUAAUUGUACUGAAGUUGUAGAUAUUCAAAGGAAACAUAUCAAAAAUACGUUUCACUGUGGCAUGAAAAUAAUCUAGUCAUUCAAAUACAUUUAGACCUCGGUUUUGUGAAGUGGAACAAAAAUUUGAAGAUUGAUCGAUCGUUCAUGACCCAUCAGAUCUGGUUAAAUCCCACAUACCACGUUGUGAUGUCACUAUGCCUGACUCCAAGUCUACAACCAGAUGGAUCAGUGAUAUUUACCUUGGGAAGUUCAGACUUGAACAAAACAAGAAAUUGUAACUUGAGAAUUUACAGGGAGCACAGUUAAAAAGUUCAUCCCUAUUCCAAUUAAGCCUUAACAAGUCAAUGAUGAGAAAAGUAACCUUAGAUUCUAUACAUAUAUAUGACACUAUAAACAUAUAAUGUGUUAUCAAUCUAACAAUCUUGAUAAUAGGUCUUUUUGCUUCCUACUGUUUUAUGGAUGUCAUGCUAAGAGUACUUUUCUCUGAAUAGCAGGUCCCUCAUAGAAGCAUAUCCAAAAGGCAUAAAUAAGCAUAGAUAACUAGAGAGGCGGCUAUCAUUCUACAGAGGAACAAUAUUUACUUUUCCUGAUUACGUGGGUCAAGGGUUCAAGCCAUGGAAUCAGCCCUUGAUGUGGUGUCAGGGUAAGGUAAGCUUCUACAUGACACCCCCUUGGGGUGCCUUCCCCAGACCUGCAUGAACGCGUGAUGCUUCGUGCACCCUGCUGCUCUUUUAGUUAGGAAAAAUAUGCUACUGUAAAUCAUAUAUGAGGACAAGGAAGUACUCUCUUUAUCCCUUGUUGUAUGUAUCUAAACAUGCACGAGCAUAAAGUGAUGUUGUCCCAGAGAAAUUCUAAGAUGAAGAACCGGUGGCCUUUUGUUUCUGAGAAGCUUUUCUACAUUUGUCAAAGGAGAUUUUUCAUGAAGAAUAAGCAUAAAAUAUUUAGGGAAGAGAGUGAUAAUAACCUCAAGAGAUAUAUUCAAUUUCACAUCAACAUCGAGGAAAGUCUGAGACCCAACUGUUUCCCACGUUAUAUGGUUUACCAUUGAUGCUGCAAGUUAAAAACACAUUGCAUGUGUUUAAACAUGUAAUUAUAAAUUAUGAUAAAUAUGUUACAAAAGCUCAGCUUCGUUCAAUUUGAUAAAAAUUGUCAUGCUCGAAUGUUGUUUUGGUAUACCUAAAAAGUGGUCAUUCUGCUGCUCUACCAGAUCAGAACCCUCAAACUGCAAUGAACAUCAGAAUUUAGGAUUAUAUAUCUUCUUAAAGGAUAGCUUAACUGUAAGAAACACAAAUCUCAGAUUUAAAUGGAAAAAAAGAAGAAGAUCCCAGGACAUGUAUCUCAAUCGCAAUGAGGGAGUAUUAAGUUAUAUGUGGGGGAUGCUAACGUCCAGAAGAAAACUGUUCUCUUGCAUGUACAAAGACAGGGGAAAUUAAACCUUAACUCACUCCUUGCUCCCCUCCUCUUUCUAUCACUCCCUCUUCUCUAAUGGUACUAACUACCUUAAAAGCAGAUAGCUGCAAAUGAGAACAUUAUCACUCUCUGUAUCAAUUGCAUAACUGGCGAUCAUACAAACAUGAAUUCAUAAGAAGUCUUCAGACAACUAAAGAUCUACGAGCCUUUAGCUACCUCAUGAAAGAAAUCAAUUAGAACCUCAAUUGUGAUAGAAACUUUUGAAGAUUCUUGGUCUAGAAGAAACAGGUGUUGGACAGCACAUCAGAGAUACUAAUUCCUUCGGUUUGGGUGAUGUUUCCAGAAUAAGGAGCCUUACCUUGCAAGACAACAUCUCCACAGUGCAGUCUUCGCUGGUCGGGUUCACUUUUAGUGUCAAAACAGGGGCAACUUCAAAAUUCAGAAGUUGAACUUGUGGAAGAGUACACCUGCAAUUAAAUCAUAAUCAGCAAGAUCUUAGAACUCUUAUAUGGGAUGAAUAGGCUGCGGAGGACACAUGAACAAUUUUCUCUGAUGAAGAUUGGAGUAUCUAAUAUCCAUACAUGAAUGUUCCUGAUUUUCAAUCACCAAAUAGAAAGGUACUAGCACUAAAGUAGUCAAAUGCUCUCAGAGACUACAGGCAAUUUCUAUAAUAUGAUUAUUUGACAACUCCACUGAACAGUUCUAUCCGGAUCUCCUAAUCUAUGCUGCACUUUACCCUUUCUUUUGAUGUGCCAUAUCUUUGAUGGAUUCCUCAACAUACACGGAAAAUAUGCUAAACGUUAACCUUACAUUGGUAACAUAUAAACUAAUAAAAGUCUAAGACACAGCUCAAAGAUUGCAAUAUAGUCCUUGAGGAUUUCAUAUCUUCUCGGUUUACACACUUGUUUUCCAGGUAUAGGCCGGUGGUUACCUUCUGGAACUGAAAUCUGUUCUUCCAAAUGCUUAGAGUACCUAAUUAACCAUAUCAUCUCCUCCGUUAAGGUAAAUAGGUUAAUUAAUGUGUACUGAUAUCCACACACUAAAAGGGAGGAGAAAAUUAUUUUUACCCCAAGUUUGAUUCUCUAUUCAAGAAGCCAAGAAAGGGUUGCUAACCCCUUGCUUCUAAGUUCUAACUAAGAGUUGGGAGUUUAAGUCACAAGGGAGGUAAAUAUGACAAAACACUGUUAGGCCUCGGGGAAGGGGAAUUAGGGGCUGGAGUUUACCAAACUAAAAAAGGUAUCUUUAUUUAAGAAAAUCAAUCAUCUGACAUCAUCUACUCAAGGUUGACAAAUUCUGGUCAUCUAUGCUACAGAACAACCAGAUUUAUAUAUUCUGCUCACUAAGAUGCUAUAGUAAGAUUCCAUAAAAGUCUCAAAAAAAUAUUGAAGUAGUAAUAAUUAGUGCAAAUGAUAGCCAUGUUCUUUUCAACAUAAAUCCAGUGGGAUUUCAGAUCUGAAUAAGAAGUUAGGCUACUUAGCAUGUCCAUUGUUGAUUAGUCGCUAUUGGAAUUCAUUAGUCAUCUUUCAUAUUUGGAGGGUAGAAUCUCAUUUAUAUGCAGUUCUACUUUAUACAUCAGAAGAUCUUGCUUGGUAGUCGCUGGAGUUUUUGUUGCGUAAGCUGCUGGUUGCACAUUUCUUUGCCCCACAUUCAAUUGGCUCUUGCAAACAUCCGUUGCGACUUGGUUAGUGUUACUGGAUGCUCAUAAGAAUUGACUUUUAAUUAAAUGAGCCUCUGUUUUAGCUACUUUCUUUCUAAGUGGUAACAGGACAACUGGCAGUUUUUUCAUAAGUUUCUUUUCACAAAGAGUUGCAGUAAGUCUUGGUUUAAAAGUGGUGCCUUGUGGUCAGGAGCACUUAGCUUAUUAGCUUUUAAUUAUAAAAAAUGUUUAGGUUAUAAUCUUAUGUUGAUAUCACAAGCACAGGGAGCUAAUAACAUUCUUCUUUUGAAGAUCGAAGUGUGAACCUGGGGAGAGGGGCUGAUAUACCAAGAGUUUAUUGUUGCUAAACUAGCACAGACCACAAGAAACUUCUUUAUAUCGGUACAUAGACCAAAAGAACCUACAGCUAGGAUGUAUGAAGAUUUUGAAAAUCAAAAGCAAAAAAGAACCAAAGUCUCACGUCAUCAUAGUAUAUGAUAGCAAGAAUCAGGCUAUGUCAGAAAAUAUCAGGCGGUCAUUAGGCAACACCUACUCACAAAGCUUAGAAAUCAUUAAGCCUUUCUAACUACUGAUGAAUCUCAGAAACAAACUUCUUACCAAAGCAAAAUUAGAUGCACUAAUUAAUUUUAAUUCAAAUUUAUAGUAGUUAUUCCAUUCACAUUUGAUGACCUGACUGUACAGAAUGUGGAUCCGUAAAUCAUUUAGAAUGCAGCAUAGAGGCGAAUUCCCUAUGCCUUAUGGUUCAUAUACCAAUAGAAGUAUAAGAGUAAUUAUAACACGGUAUGAUAUGGUUAACUAUUUCAGCAUCCUAAUAGUUCAAUCAGCUUCAUCUCUUUGCACAGUGGCGUUUGUUCUGCAAAGCUUCUUUUCUACGUAUCAAUGAUGUUUCCACUCGUUUUUCAAUACUUAAGCAGAUAACUUGAAAACUACUUAACACCUAGCUACAAUAAUAAAAUGCAACAUUUCACACAGCAAGAACAAAUGAUAGAAGAGAAAGAUGGAAUGUCCUUGGACCAAAGUACCUAGACAAGAAUAAUAGGCAAGAAGAUACAAAUCAUUACCUGUACGUAUUAGAAUCAAUAGAUUCAAAGCUUUGCAAAGCUCUCUUGUUCAACAUUGCCUCAACACCAGAUUUAUGGCUUAGAAACUCACUUAUAUGCAAUGAUUUACUGUCUCCACCAAUACUGUCAUGUUUGGGGAGCUUAAUUCUGUCCUUCUUCCUGGCAGAAAGGUUUGCUCUCUUAGCAUCUGAGUUUGACAAGUUAGACUUGAUCACUUCGACAACUCCAGCUCUCUUCCUGAAAAUCCUCAUUUUCAUUUAGCCAUAAUAGGAUGAGGAAAAAAAGAAGAUUGAACACUCACUAAUCAAUUUGUUUCUCUUACUUCCCCUCUUAGUCCGUUUAAAAGAAAACGUCUCUUUCCUUUUUUGGCAACUCUCUAGUUCUAACUUUCCACGUGACAUGAAUAAGACCACAAAAUUAAAACGCAUUUUCGUACAAUCUACAUAUCUUUAGUUUAAGACCACGUGGUUCAAAAAUAAACAGACGGAGUAUUUACUUAGAUACACAAUCAUUCCCUUUCAGUCCUUCCUGCCUUUACUUCUCUACUCUUUAAUCUCUUAUCAUUGUAAAACAGACAAAGCAUAAGGCUAACAACAAGUCAUGAACAUAUCUCUGAAAAAACAUGAAAUUUAUUGUUCAAUAGGAACAAAUUUGUGAAAUUUUUUCUUGAUUCUACUAUGACUGAACUAAAAUCAUAUCAUUUAACAAAAUAACACUAACCCCACCCCAUCCCCUCCCACCCCACCAACCCAACAAGAACAAUUUCAUAAUUUAACAUGAGCAACAUAGUCAAAAAUCAAAACAAGAUAACACCACUUGGGUUGCAUAAGAGUAAAUUCACCUUGAAAAGGAGCAUUCUUGGAAUUGAAAUGAUGGAAUUGAGCAAGACCCAUAUUGAAUAACCCUCAUAACUACUUGUUGAUGGGCAGCUUCUAAGCUUUAAUUUACAAAUUAAUGUGUAAUAGCCAUGGCAUUGAGGAGAAAUUGAAGCAAAGUUAUGGUUUUUUUUAAGCUGGGAAAGUGGGUGUGUGCACAUUAUGUGUUCCUCCAUGUUAGGGAGUUUGGCUCAUCACCAUAUCUAUCCAUUCACGUGUACAACUUGGAAAGAGCAACUCCAAAAAAAUAGGGAUUUUUAUUGGUUUCGAUAAUAAUUUUAAAUUAAUUUAUAAAAAAAUUUAGUCUAUAAUUAAAUUUAUAGAUUUUAAAUAAAAUUUACAUUUUUUCUAUUUAAUUUAUUGGUUAAAUCAAUUUUUGCACACUUGUAAUUGUAAAUAGAGGAAAUAAUUUGUGCGUACAUAAGAUUUGUAGAAAAUUGUGAUUCUUUUGCUUUAAUUUAUGUGAUAUAUGUUUUUAGUCUAUUGUAAAGAAUUUGAUAUUAUGUUUUUCGAAUUCCAAAUAUUAUAUUUAGAAAAAUAAAUUUCUUAAAAAUAAGGAAAAUGACGAUUAUAAUGAAAUGGAGAAAACAAAUUAUAUGAAAUUUCAUAUGGAUUAUAUCUUCUCUGCUCUUCGCACAUCAUCUUUAUCUUACCUAACUCUCGCCCUUUGCAUUACCUCUAUCAUCUCUGAUAUUUAUUUAAAUUAUAUAUAAAUAUAUUUAGAAUCUAACAAAUAUAAAAAAGAUGUCUUCAACCGUCAUAUUAGUGUAGAAAAAUAUACUUUUUCAGAUUCUCUAUGGGCAUUCCAACAGGAAUAAUUAUGUUGUCUAGACGAUAAAUAAUAAGCAAUAUUACCUAAUUAGAAACAGAUAUUGUAUAGUUCAAUCCAAAUGCACUAAAUUUCAAAUAAAUCAUAUUUAUUGUUUGAUCAAAAAAUUCGUCUAAAGCCAUGUUCUCGAGCCAAUUACAUCCGUCAAAUUGGAGAUGAUAAGUUUGUCUUUCUAUCCUUCUUCACUUAAAUGACGAUGUUAGUUCGUUUGUCACAAAACUCACCUAUUGAGAUCGAAAUUUAUUAAAAAAAAAGUUUUAUGUCAUGAUGUUCAUUUACAGCAUCCUCUGUAUUGAAGAUCAUAGCAAUCAAAAUACAAACUAAUCAAUUCUUAUUGAAUUUUAAUUGCUUUAUUUAUUAUUUUAUAUUGUAAUAUUUAAUAACUUGAAAAAAUUAUUAUUCUUCUUUACUAUGACUAUAUAUAACCUGUCAAAUUAUAAAAAAUAAUUUGAAAAGAUUUUUCAUUGAUCAAUUUGGACUAGAUAUCAGCUCAAAUUUUGAUGGACUAAAAUGAAUUGAACUGAAAUGAGUUGAGCUAAUAAAUAAGUGGGUCAAUAAUCAGUUCAAACUUAAAUAAAUUAGACAAAUUAUCAUUCUCAUGAGCUAAUUUUGCCGGCAAGAAGGCAGUGUUAGUGGAUCAAUAACACAUGCAAUAUGAUAUGACAUACUCCCUCCAUCCCAUUUUAUGUGACACUUUUUAGAUUUCGAGAUUCAAACAAGUAUUUUAAACGUAAGUUUUCAUAGAUCUUUUAAACAUUUUGAAUUACCAAUUGUUGUGAUUUAUAGUACUUUUACGUAGUUUACAAAUAUAUAAAUUUCAUUUAAUUUUUUUUGAAGAUUUCAUGCACAAAUUCCCGGUCAAACUUAUACUGUUUGACUCUCGAAAAUGAAAAGUGCCACAUAAAUUGGGACAGAGGGAGUAAUAAAUUUUUAUACAAUUAAUAAUUAUACCUCAUUAUCAAACAACAACAACAAUAAUAACAUAUUCAAUGAAAUCCCACAAUUGACGUGUGUGAUAGAUGAAAAUAGAUAUAAAAAACUAGAACUAACAAGAAUAGAGUAACCAACCUGAAUCCUCGAAAAUAAGUCAACACUCAACCUACUAACCUAAUACGCAACCAUCACACCUUCGUAUUUAAGAUCAUAUCAUAAGUAAUCUGAUGUUGUGUCAUGUCCUGUCUAAAAUAGAGACCAAUUCACCAGAUAUGUAUUUUCUAUAACAACUCAUAUUCUAUUAUACUCGCUUUGUCCCAAUUUAAGUGAAAUAUUUCGAAUUUCGAGAUUCAAACAAGUCUAUUUUUGAUUGUAAAUUUUUCAUAUAUCUUUUAAAUAUUCUGGAUUGUCAAUUAUUGUGAUCUAUAGUACUUUUUAUGUAGUUUGCAAUUAUAUAAAUUUCAUUUCAAAAAAAUUGAAGAUGUCAUGCCCAAACUCCCGAUCAAACUUAAAUUGUUUGACUUUCGAAAAACGAAAUGUGUCACAUAAAUUGGGAUAAAAGGAGUAUUAUUUUUCUAUUCCAAAAUUCUUAAACGUGAGUGCCAAGAAACAAACCAAGAUAGAAUCCUAGCCAUCCAUUUUGAUUAACCAAAACUUAAUCACAACCGUUAAAUUAAUUACCAAAAAAACAAAACAAAUCACUAUAUUCAAAUUCUAUUAAACCCCGCCAAAACCUGUAACAAGAAAAACUAACUUUCUUUCUUACAAGCUCUGCUUCAAUGUCGACUACACCCAAAUCAGCAAAGAAACUCCCGUUUAUCGACCUCCAUAGUGACGAUGAUAAGCUUCGUAAAGCAGCAAAAACUCUCUUGAAUUAUUCCAAAAAAUACUUCCCAAAUUCUUUAGUUGAGGAACUUUUCCAAGCAAUUGAAUGUAGCCCACCAGGAUCACGUACAGUAUUCUCUAUUACAAUGUUUUAUGCGAUGUUUUACCAUCCCUUUGGACCAAACUUUCGUUAAGUAAGCGAAAUGACUUGAAGAUCCGUUUACAUGAAAAGGUUUGGCUUGAAACAGAUUAUGAAACACUCAAGGCUUGUUCAUCUUGUGUAUCGAGUUUAGCGGGUUUACUUUUCCCUAAAAAUGAAUGGGUUUUAUUGUUUCACUUAAUGUUUGAGUAUUUGGGUACGAAUUCAUCGAACGGAAAAUUGUGUGUUAUGCUUUUAUGGAAUGAAUUGAUACCAAAAUGUCCUGAGGUUUUUGUACCUUAUGUUGAUUUUUUGAUUGAGGGGUUUACAGACCUUAUGCCUACUAUAUUGGAAGAUCAUCGAUGUAGGGUUGCUGCUGCUAGGGCUUCUGUGAAAUUGAUUUUGUAUUAUUCAACUCCCGCGAGUUAUUGCAAGUUUUAUGGUCUUUUAGAACAUGUGAUAGUGACUUUGUUUGUGGCAAUUGGUGAGGAAGAUCUUGUGUGUAGCCUUCUUGAGGAUUUGAUUGUUUUGGUUGGGGUAGAGACCGCGGUUUUUAAAGUUAAUAUCGGUGUUGUGGUUAAGUAUAUGGUGAGGAUAGCUGAGAAUUCGAAGUUAGGGGAAAAGUUAAGGCAGCUAUCUAUAGAGUUUAUUGUUACUUUGGCUGAGGAUAGGGAGAUUGGGUGUGGGAUGAUGCAGAUGGUACCAAAAGAAGAAGUUACUAAAUUGCUUAGUGUGUUGAUUGUGAUGUUGGUGCAUAUUAAAGAUGACCCUUGUUGGGGAAAUGCAAAUAGUGAUGAUGAAAAUGAAGGGCAGUUGAGUAUGUGUAGUUAUGCUAUGGAGAGUUUGGAUAGGCUAGCAAUUGCAUUAGGGGGAAGUGUAAUUGUGCCUUGUUGCGCUGUGGGCUUGUUCGACCUCUUUCAUGAUCAAAAUUGGAGAAUUCGUCAUGCUGCCGUUACUGCAAUUGGACUGAUUUCAGAAGGAUGCUCAAAGGUAGUAUUCACUCUUUCUGCUGCGUACACAGCGUACACACUACCUCUCUAGAUCCACUUAUGGGAUUACACUGGAUUACUUUUGGCAAAUGAAAUACGUUUUGAGUUUGAUUUCUGGUCUGGAAAUUCCCAGGCAUUGUUACUGGAGAUGGAGAAACUUGUGCAGACUAUUGUGAAACUAAUCCAUGAUGAGCACCCUCGAGUAUGUUGGGCGAAAAUUCGUACAAUUGGUCAGCUAUCAACAUAUCUGAGCCCUUGUUUUCAAGAGCAAUAUCAUCAGCAGCUCCUUCGAGCUUUGAUAGAAGUAUUGGAUGAUAUUGAUAAUCCCAGGUUGCAGGUACUUUUAAUGACAUAUGACCAAUGUAUUAACUCUUUGUUCUCUAAUUGAGAACUUUUGACAUAUCAAAACUUAUCCAUUGCAAGUACAUCUGGUUGCCGACUAAUACUCUCUUGUGUAUAGACACGUGCAGCUUCAGCGAUACAGUUGUUCAGUCAAAAUUGCAGUGCAGAUGUCUUGAAACCUUACCUGCACAAUACUGUGCGUAAAUUAGUUGGGUUUCUACAGGUAAUGUCACCUUUACCAAUCUACAACAUAUUUAUUUGUUCACGUGUAUAAGAGUAAAUGACAUAAGCUUUUAACUGUCAAAUCUCUGAUGUGAUUUGAGUUUAUAUUUAACAAGUAACAUGCUGCAUAUUCCAGAGAGGAACGGCAAUGAUGAAGGAAGCAUCUCUUGCAACUUUAGCCUCUUUAGCUAUUUCAUCACAGGUACUUUACUUUCAGGGGUUCAAAAAGAACUCUUUUUUUCCAAUGCUCGAUGUUCUAAACUUCAUUUGCUUGGGACACUGCAGGAGGACUCUGCAUACUUAUACGAUUCUCUAAUGCCUUAUCUGAAAGUUAUCUUGGAAACUGUUACUAAUGAUACAAGUCGCACGCUACUGGCCAAAUCCAUGGAAUGCAUUACCAUGGCUGCAAUGGCUGUUGGAAAUCUAGCAAUCAAUGAUUAUGUUGAAAAGGUGAAUACAAUUUAUAAAUUUCCAUUAGCACUUAGCAGGCAUUAUAUAAAAGUGAAACUAUCAACAUCACUUAAGAUCUGAAAAUGCAUUUACCUUAUGUGAUAUGUUAUUUUAGGUCACUGCAGUACUCAUUUCACUGCACGAAACUCAAACGGUGAUAGAAGAUCCAAUGAGGAGACUUUUGUUACUAGUAUGUUGAUACAACUUAGAAUUUUGUGCAACUUUCAUUUUCUUUUCUUUUCUGUUUUUGGCUAAUUUACACUUUGAUUCUAUGACAGGAAUGCGGUAGACUAUGUAAAUUUUUGGGGGCAGAUUUCCUUCCUUAUCUGAGUCUUGUCAUGCCCGUUGCGCUAAAAUCUGCUUUGCUAAAGAACUAUUUGAGUGUUUCCGAUAAUUCAGAUACAGAUGAUUCUGAUUAUGAAAGGUUGGAUCUUUUACUAUAACAACUCGUACGAAGUUUUAUUUAGAUGGAUGGCAUAUGUAUUAGUACUAUCACUAUGUAAUGAUGUAGAUGGUUGUGAGUUUUCAUACAAUUUCAUUUCAUUUCAUGAUGUAUUAAGAGUUCCGCACAUGCUAUACCAUAUGAAACUGCUAUGUCGAAUUAUAACGUAAAUAAAGUGAAUAUGUUAAGUGACUUCUGUGUAUCUUCCUGUUUAUUUAGAGACAACAUCUCCGAGUCAAAGGAAAACAUCUGGUAUUUCCGGGCACUUAAGGUUUCACAGAUGUUUCAUGAGGCUAUUAGUCACUGCACUUAAAUAGUACAGUUUGAUGAGAUAAAUUUCUAUUACCAACCUUUAAUUGCAGUCUUUCGGAAACAGCCUCUCUACCUUCCAAGGUAAGGGUAAGGUCUGUGUACGCACUACCCUCUCCAGACCCAACUUGUGGGGAUUACACUGGGUAUGUUGUCGUUGUUGUUGUAACCUGAAAUUGCAGGAAAAAAGUGAAAUAAGCAACUUUAAUGGAAUAAAUUUAUUGAGGAUGUCUUCAGCUGACAUAAAUAUCUUCUGUAGCAUGAUUAAAGCCACUGCUGGGAAUAAAAAGAUCGGGAUAAGAGCUGCACUUCUGGAAGAGAAGGCCUUGGCCUGUCAUAUGCUAUGCUUCUUCUCAACUGAGUUAAAGGAAGGGCUGCAUUUAUGGGUUAAUGAGGUCUGUCUAGAAAAUGACAGGUCAUAGCUAAUCUCAUUUACAAGGCUUACAAAGUAGCAUGCAGAUUUUUACUUAAUUUGUGGUUUAUGCAGGUUGUUAGUGCUUUAGUUCAGAAUCUUACUUUUAAAUUCAGCGAAGAAAUUAGAAUGGCUGCCGUUUCUGGUAAAUUUUCUACAUGUGUCUUCAUCUAAUCAUUCAUUUCCGCAUUAUAAAACAAACCCCGUUGUUUGCUAAAUUGCAUUUAUUCCUUUUUGUAGCAAUGCCGUUGCUGUUAAAUUCAGCUUCUUGUGCUAUGAAGAAAGGGCUGCUUGUAACAGGUCAUGGCAAGUCCCCAGUUCAAAAGCUAUCUGACACUAUUAUCUCAUCUUUGCUUGAUGCAUUAAAAAAGGUAAUUUACCUAGUGUUGCAGCAAAAGUUUAAUCAAUAGUGAUACGAUCCUUAGGAAGUUUUACUUUCCCUUUAGGAGUCAAAGGUACAAAUUCAAGCAAGACUAUUGGAGGCAUUCAACGAAAGCAUACAGGUUAAUAACUCUUUUGUCUUCUGUAUAGCUUAUUUGUCUGUGCACUAAGAAGUACUUAUUACAGGUUCCGGGUUCAUGUCUAAGUAAACACCAAGCUGAAAAAUUUGUUGAUGGCAUAUCAAAGGUCCUCUCCAGAUGCUCAUACCGCAAAACAGAAAGAGAGAAGCGAGCUAAAGAACACACAGAUUCAAGGGAGCAGGAACUACUUAAGGAGGAAGCUGAGCAACACUUAACUAUAUGUAGAAACGUUAGUGUUUUAUCUCAACAUAGCCUCUAAUAUAUAUAUAUAUAUAUAUACUUAACAGGAUCUUAGACUUACCUUCAUCGGUUUCUUUGUUUUCCUGAAUUCAGAUUGGCAUUUGCCUUGGAACUAUGGUGAAAAAACUAAAGGCAUCAUUCUUGCCACAUUUUGACAAGUUUUUGCCUUAUGUAUCACUUAUGUGGGUAAGUCACUCUCGCUUUUGAUGUACUAUAUGUAUAAUUCAAUUCAUGACACCUCUUACUGAAGCAUCAUAAGUAGCUAAAUUGAUAUAAACUUCUCGUUAAACCAGUCUAUCAAGAAAUUCUAAGGGGAACUUUUAAGGUUUCUUUGACCUUACACAUUUCCUUUUCACUUUUCUACAUACUUCUGUACAGAGUAAUGAUAGAACAGCAGAAGAAAGAAGAAUUGUAGUGCACCUUUUUCGUGAUGUUGCUGAGCAGUGCCGAGAAGAAGCAUUCAGGCACGUCUUGCAAUUUUCAGUGUCUUAUUAAUCAUGAUAAGCUCAGUUGGCUUAGCUGAGCGUCUUUUUUAUUAUUUUAAAAAUCAGGUACUAUGAGGACUGGAUAUCUCUCCUGCUUAGAAUGCACAAUCAUGAGAAUCCAGAUGUUAUGCAGGUUUUCUAUUUUUUCCUUCUUUUACUAUUUGUUUCCCUAGUAAGUCUUUUAUAUAUCCUUCAAACCUGACAUUCUCUAUCUUUUCAGAUCGUGGCAACUGCAAUUGGUAUUUGUGCUGAAUUCGGAGCAGAUUUCCUUAAGCCUCAUAUUAAAGGUAGCUUUGUGCGUUAUAAUAUGCUUAAGGUAUCUAUUUUCUCCACUAGCAGCAUCUGACUUAGCUGCUUAAUGGUGUUUGCAGGAAUACUCGGUCAUUUAAAAACUGCACUGGAGAAUCCUAAUGCAAAACACCCCGAUAACAUCAUGGCUUAUGAGGCUGCUGUUUCUACCUGUGGAAAGUUAAACCAGUUUGUCUCAGAAGGCAUCUCCUAUGAGGUGCUCUCUUACUACUCCUUCCUAUAUCAUUCCAAAAGAAAACUUCAUACACUAGAACACACAUACGAUUUCUCUUGAUUGUAGUUUUGAUAAAUUUGUCAUUUGUCGACUGACAUAUCAUAAAUGUUCUUGUCUCAGUACAUCCUGCUCUGGCUUAACCACUUACCAAUAACGUGUGAUCUUGAUGAGGCUAAAAUCAGCCACGAACUGCUUUGUUCAAUGAUGGAGACGUAAGUAUUCCCUGUAGGCUACAGCAAUAAGUAAUCAAUGAUUAUCAGAACUUCAACAUUUCUUAUGCAUGCUUGCAACUGUGCCUUGAUCUUUCAGGUCAGAGCAGAAAGUUAUUGGCCUUGGCGGAUCUUAUAUACCGAUUAUAAUAGCAAUUUUUGCUGAGGUAGUUUUCCUUUACAGUAGUACCCUUCAUCUUAUAUGCACUAAGAUUUCCUCCAUUUCAUAAGUUUAUCUUUAUCCUCUAGGUUUUAUGGGCAGGGAACAAUUUGGCCUCAGAAGAAACUAGGACGCGAAUUAUCAAUCUAUUGAAGAAGUUCCAAAGAGAACUGGAGCCUCUUGUGUUGUCCAAAAUAUUUGAAACAUUACCUUUACCACAUCAAAACAUGUUGCGCAUCGUCUUGUCCACCUAGUAAACUGUUUGUGCAUUCUUUGAGUAGAUAGAUACAUGUACAGAAUGGAAAUAGCUAACGGGAAAAAUCGCAGACUCAUACUUGUAGAGUGAGAAAGAUUACUGUAAAGAGUGAUUGUAUACAUUGUAAAGGAGAUUUUUGUGUAUUAAAGGAAGUUACUAGCCAAGAUCAUUUGGCACUGAGGUUGUUUUGUAGUCCAUUGAAGUGUACUAAUUGAACAUUGUUACAUUUUGGUCUAUAAAAUUUGAAUAACCAUAGUUUGAUCACAUAAUACAGUUAAAUCAUCAUGAAACAAUCAGGGAUAAAACAAGCAUUUAGAGGAAGUGAAGCUCCAUGACAAACACAAACACUAGUUCAGAAGGGAACGAAUAAAUGGCGUAAGAUAAACAUAUCCAUCAGAUCAUCAUUAUAUUGAAAUAAUAUGAAUUCGUUCUACUAAUACUAGACAAUUUGUGAAAGCUACUAACUUGCUUAACAUCAUCAAGGCAAGCUUCGGAGGCAAACUUCAAGUUACAUAAUCAUUUGUGUUUUGAUGACCGUGAUGUCCAGGACAGCUUGUAUGGACCUCAACUAAUAUUACUUACACGGUAAUGCUUUGAUACCUCGCAGCAGUAUACUGAAUAACUAUGUCCACCUAGCCUUGAGUAGAUAGACAUAGAUUUUCAUUUUGAAUUACCAUUUGUUUUCAUUAAACAAGAGACAAAAGAAACUGAAAUCCAAUUCGAGUCCAACAAGUUUUGACUUUUGAUUUUGAAAAUUGUUGCCUAUGAAAUAAGCGGAUUUGAAUUUCCAAUUUAUCUUAAAUUAAAAAAUAAAUAUAAAAAAUUUAAAUGUGCUCGAGGGAAAUCAAACCCCCAUUCAAAAGGCAAACUAAGCUAAAGCAAGUUUCAUUAUUUUUUAAAAUAGGAAUAAAAUCAUUAAACUGUGCUUGCUUCAUGGGCAAAACAUCAAGUUUAACAAAUUUCGACCUAUGGACAAAUAUUUUGAUUUCUGAUCUUAAAAGUUGUCUAUGGGUUAGCGGGGGUCAAAAAUUUGAAAACGAUCCAUUUCUAAGGUCAUUGCAUAUAACAACUUUCACAUAUAGCAAACAUAAAAAUCAUAUUUAUAUGUUAUAGUUAUAGUUUGUAUAAUUGCGCUUCAUAGUAAACUUUAUGUUUGCUAUGGAGCAUCAGAUUAUAUAACUCGCUGGUAGGAGCUUCAGAUUUGUAUAAUUUCGUUGACAGACUAUUUGUAUAAAUCGCUGACAGCCUCUCGUUUGUAUAAAUCGUUGGCAGCCUCUCAAUUCAAUUUUAUGUGUUUGUAUAUAUCUGCAUAAAAUUUGAAUUUUUAUACAAUUGAAUCGAAAUAAAACAUUUGUAUAUCAAAUCUCUCUCUCUCGCUUUAUACAACACAAAUUAUACAUUGUAAUUUGUAUAAUCUAUGUUUGUAUAAAGCGAGAAAAAUAGAAAGGCAAAAGAGAACUGGGCCAGAGAAGAUUUAUAUUUGUAUAGUUAUAAGUGUAUAGGACGAAAAUAUAUGUAUUCGUAUUUGUAUAUACAGUUUUCUCUCGCUUUAUACAAACACAAACGCAUUUUAUACAUUUGUGUUGGUAUAAAAAGCGAGAGAGGCGAGGGAGAGAUUGGCGAGAGUGGCGAGCGAGAAACCUAGGGAGAGAGGCGAAUGUCAACUGUUUGCUACGGAUUACUAUUAAAUCAAAUUGUGAUUAUAACAUUUAAUUUGAAUUAAUAGUUUGCUAUUUUAUACAAUUUUAUCUUUCUUAAAAUUGAAUAGUUCACCUAAAUUAGCCUGGACACUAAUAGGUUUAUUAAAAAUGGGCCGACUUUAGAGUCCACUUUUUUAUGGGUUCUCACUUUUUGGGCUUCAAAGAGCCCAAACUCAUCUUAGGUGAGACCAACGAGUAUAGAAAGCCCAAAUAUACUAAACAAUUGCUAACUUAACUAUAAGGGGUCGUUUGGACUUGGAGUGAUGGAUAAGGGGAGUUACUUUCGGGCUAAAUUUUGAGUAGCCUUUAAUCAUUUGUUCGUUUGGUGUGAUGGAUAAAUAUAAAUAGUCUUGGGAUUAAAAAAAAUAGUCCAAGAAUAAAAUUUUGGUGUCUUGUUUGGUUGCCGUGUUUGGGAUAACUUAUCUCACCAUUUAUACCACAGUGAUGAGACAAGUUAUCUCAUAUACAUGGUGGGAUAAAUUAUCCCGGGAUAACUAGUCUUGGGAUAACUUGUUCCCGACCAAAUGAUCCCUAAGUAGUGGACGUCUUUUUAAUUUUUAUUUUUUAAAAUACAAAUAUUCCAUUAGACAGAGUACAUAGAGGUUAAAUUUAUAACAACGUAUGCUUGUAAUUUAGACGAAACACUCCAAUUUGUUUUUACUGAGUUUCGUAAAUAUCUGAUGUUGAUGUGAUUCAUAAUUUUUUUGAAUUUGUUUAAAUGAUGAUUUUGUAAGUUGAAGUGUUCAACUGACACAAUAAAAACAAGAUGAGGUGUCUAGAUGUUCAUACUCAAAAUUGAAGUAUUUACUUAUCAUACGUCAACAUUUACGAAGGUCAGGAACAUGAUAAUCACACUAUCAAGUUCAAGAAGAUAAUCAAAACUAAAACAAUUUAAAUAUCAUAGGAUUGAACAAAUAAACACAUAUAUUCUAUAUGUAAAAUCAAAUCAUCAUACUAAUAAAGACAAUGAUAUAGCAAUUUGGAAAAUAAUAGAUACUUGAAAAAAAAAAGAGAUUUGCUUAAAUGCGUAUGUUUAUAUAUAUAGGCCAAAUUGAAAGACGUAGAUGUCAUCUGAAUUCAAAAUUAAGGAAUAUAUUUGUGUUUUAUGCCUUGAUUUUUUAAGUAUCUAUCGUUUCCAAAUUUAUCACUGCCUUUAUUAGUAAAAUAUUUUGAUUUCACACUUGUUGUACAUCAUCUCACUUACACAUUUCUUACCAACCCAAUCUUGAAAGUUCAAAUAACAUGUUUUGGUAAUAAAAAUGCAAAAACAUCUUCUUCUUCAUUUUAAUUAUUAAUCAACAAAAAGUGAUUAUUAUCCUCUAUCAUCACAAUACAUAUAUUUCUUUUUGGCUAGCAAAAAUCAACACCCAAAACCUUUGAUGGAAAAAAAAAUGCAACUAUUUAGCCUUAUAUAUUCUUCAUUUUUUUGUAAUUUUUUUUUUCUAGUUGAAGAAAAUAGCACACAUUUUUUUCACUAAUUUUUUUUUUGAACAUGUAGAAUCUUUUGUAGGGCUACCCUCCAAUUAAUUCUCAAUAAACAAAAAGAUAUUUUCUUGGUGAAUCCUAAGCCACUCGAUCAUUUGACAAGGACAACUAACAUAUUGUACCCCAUACAAAUAUAGCCCACUAGUACUUAGAAUUCUGUGUUCAUAGUUAGAUGAAAAGAACAUGUGUCUGAACUAACAUGGGUUGUGGCAGGAGCACUUCAUUCUUAAUCAAAGGUUUCAAGAUUCGAGUUUUGUAUAUGAAGAAAAUUUUGUUGAAUGCGCUAUUCCAAAUGGAUCAUGCUAUGCAUGCAGUGCGUGAUCCGAAUUUAGUAGGGGCUCCCAUGUGGGCUCCGAAUACUAAAUGAGAAACCAAAAAAGGAAAAAGAAGUGGCCAACUUACCAGCAAACGAAAAAAUUCUUAGUAAUAUCUUCUUUUCUUUUCCUUUUUUAAUCUAGAAGUGGUCGUUUAAUUUGGCUUUGUGAUAUGAAGUUAAAGUGUUAUUUGGAUAUGCGAAUUUUUUAUGUUGUAUGUUUCUCAUACAUAAAACUCUCAUAAGUUGUAAAAUUAUUCAAAUUGUCUCAAAUCUUUAUACUAUAUUACCAAAUAAGUAAAAGCUUACAAAAUCUCAUAAUACACUAUCACAAAACUAUUCUAAAAAAUACAACAUAAAUUGAUCAAACUUAAUUUAAUAAAAAAAUCAAAAUUGAACAUUGGUUGGUAAUAAAUAGAUUAUAUAAGGUUAUUUAUUUUUGGGGUUUAUAAUUACAUGACAUAAAAAUAAUCUUUAUAUUUUAUCAUGUCAAGUUUAUUUUAAUGAUAAAUGAAGUUGAGUGAUUUUUUAAGAUAAAAACUUUAAGUUGAGUGAUUUUAUUGAUUCAAAAUAAAGUUCAAUGACUUUACUAGAUAAUUUUCUAUAGUUCAAUGACCUUUUAAGAUAUUAACUCUGAAUUUGGUGAAUAUAAAUAGUAAAGUAGGAAUUGAUUUGAAGUAAUAUCAAACUGGUGAGAAUAAUUGUUAUAUGAGAUAUAAAUGAUUUAAAAAGUAAUGGUAUGAAUUUUAUAACUUUAUUUAUAUAUCAAAAUAAAUGAUCAGUAGUUAUAAAUGAGAAUGUUCUUUUACAAAAUAUAAAUUUGUGGGUCAAGUUUUAUAUUUAACAAAUCCCAAAUCAUGAGUUUUGGAGAAUUUGAGAUUUCAUCUCACGAGAUGAAAUCAACGUGAAAUCACAUGUCCAAACAUUGAUUUCAUCUUAUGAUUUCAUAACACGAUAUGCACAUGACCAAACACCUACUUAAUUCAACUGUUUAUUUGUAUUGAAAUUUUCAUAAAAUAUUUACUAAUAUUAGAUUUAAAACUUAGUUAUUAUUAUUUGAAGUUGUUAUCCUAAAAUUCCGAACUCAUAAAGUUGAAAUCUUGUUUCUUCUUCCAAAUCCGUUACGAUGCAUGUUUAACUCUCUCCCAAUUUAUGUGACAUCUCUUAUGUAGUGGACCUAGAAUUUUCAUUAAGAGGUGUCAAUGGUUGUAAUAAAAAAUAUAAUUAUGAGGCUAGUAGGACCUAACACACGACCUCAAGAAAUUUUCA